rnacentral:rRNA from 1 species
UACGGAGGGUGCGAGCGUUGUCCGGAAUCACUGGGCGUAAAGGGCGCGUAGGCGGCCUGAUAAGUAGGGGGUGAAAUCCUGCGGCUUAACCGCAGGGCUGCCUUCUAAACUGUCAGGCUGGAGCACAGUAGAGGCAGGUGGAAUUCCCGGUGUAGCGGUGGAAUGCGUAGAGAUCGGGAAGAACACCAGUGGCGAAGGCGGCGACCUGGGCCAAUAUUGACGCUGAGGUGCGAAAGCGUGGGGAGCAAACAGG